rnacentral:tRNA from 1 species
AGUGGAUUAGCUCAGUGGUUAGAGCCUUAGGUCUUAUGACCGGAAGGUCUCGGUUUCGAAUCUCCCCAGAUGCAUAA